CACAAAUAUAAAUCUUCUAUUCCUACAUCUGAUCUGAAAUUUCUUCUCAAGUACUUUUUUCCAAUGUAUUGAUUUCAAUUUUUAUUAAUAUAUUGAUUGAUUGAUUUAUGGAUAGAGAGAGAGUAAAUGGCAGUGACGACUCAAAAAAUUCAAGCUCAACAGACCGGAUUGCAGAUGGAAGAUAUGAUGAGGUGGCUUCGUGGUGGAUAUCGGUUUUAGAAGAUUGAAUUGAAAAUCCUUGUACUGAUUGAAUAGCUCCAGAAUUGUUAUUCUGGUCUAGUGAUUUAUUCAUCUUGUACACUUAGUUAUUGUAGUUUAUCUCAGAUUUUAUUGUAGAUAAUAUAAUUUUUCCAUUUGAUAUUGAUUUAUUCAUUCAUGUAUAAAAGCAUAAUCAUAGUUUCUAUAUUUGAAUUAUUUCAA